rnacentral:rRNA from 1 species
AUGGUCGCCGCAAUCUUCGGUCCCAGAAGCUUCAACUUGAACCAGAAUGUUCUGACCAAGCUGAAGGCCGUGUAUACCUUGGUGGAGCAACUCUAUACCGGGUCACAGCGUGCGUUAGCCGUUGUGGCCCUGUCCAACGAGGUUCCGACUCACCUGGCGGAUGUACUCAGGCGGCUUGCCGUUCUUCCUCAGCGCUUCCAAGAGCUAAGACGGGCCUCUGCAAGAGCCGGAGCUAUAGCUGCACUGAGCCGGGCCAAGGCUUUUCUCCCGGAGCUAGACCCGGCCGACAUUGCUCUUGCAUACCCCAGCCUGAAGGAAGACGACACUCCCUUUGACCAGAAAGACUUCGCCGCCUGUGUGAAGAGCGUGCGCCCGGUGGCUACCAUGAUUGGAAACGACACAGAUCUUACCAAGUACCAGCCGGGCUAUGACGCGGAGAAUCAGAGGAUCCCCACUCCAUGUUAUGAAGCCAUCAGCUUGAUCCCUCCGACUCGUAAGCAUACCUUUGCCCCAGAAGUUGACCCGGCCGGGUUAAUUGACGACGAGGCUCAAUUUGAAGCCUUGAACGGCAUUGACUGGAAAUCGUCAACCUUCCAGGUCAUGGAAUCAGCCGGAGGAGCGGAGAGGGAUGAGCCGGAAGCUUCAACUCAACAAGCAUCUUGA